rnacentral:lncRNA from 1 species
UCGACCAAAAUCGAAUGUAUUCGAUUACAAACGAAUGUCUUGAAAAUGAUCCGAUGACAAACUCCAAGGUUGAAAAUCAACCGACAUGGUGAAGAUAUAGCCAAAAAAAGUUGGCUCAAGAUAGGCCUCGAAAUUUUCAUUGGGUGAAGCUUUGUCCCACAACCUGGCCACUUAGCGCUCCUUGUCCAUGGACAAGUUGAGUGCAAGCCGAGGACAUCGACGAAGGGGCAAUGAGUCGAGUAGAGGCCGAGGAUGUCGAUGAAGAGGGAUAGUCCUUCAAGGAUCUCUGUCUGGCCAUUUAGUGCUCUUUGUUAUCAAUGAGUUGAGCUGAGGUCGAAGACAUCGAUGAAAAAGGAUAACCUUCUGGAGACUCCAUCUGGCCACUUGGUGCUCCU